GGAAUCAUCAGUCUACAUAUGGCAACAGAAGAGUUGGCCCAUAUUGUUUCUCCCUGAAACCUGCCUACAACCUGCUGAGUUCCCAUAUGUGGAUUACUAAAUUCUAGAAGCUUCUCACUGAGGAGACACAGUGAAGCGUUGGAGAGUCACUGGCCCAGAAUGAAAGAUGACAGCAGCAUGAGGAGUGGCACCCAACCCUCAUUUUAAAACCCAUCAUUACUUCUACCAUCGCAGGAACAAGGACUCUGCUGGCACCCAAACUGCUGGCUGAUGAUGAGCGUUAAAAAUUCAACACAUACACGCGAUUUCCUGUAACCUCAGGAAUCCAUGUUUACACACUUUAAACAGUUGUCACAUCUUACUUUCUGCAUGGCUCUUUAACUCGGUGUUCCUUAACUUUACACGUUAUACAUGUGGUAUCUUUUGUCAAUGAAACACCAAGUGUCCUAAAGUCAAAGCAAUGUGUUACAUGACUUUAUAUUGCUCGCAGUGCUUAGAUGUAGCAGGUGCUCAAUUCAUUUUUGUUGAAUGAAUACAUUUACUGUAUACAACUAAUCAAGUGUGCGUUUUCUCUAAAUUCUUAUAAAAACAAUACUUGGGGAAAAUAACAAGAAGACCCUCCCCAAUCCUAGCACAAAAUACCAAAAAAAAAAACUUAAAAUGGGACAAAAACAACCUACAAUCCUUUUCCUCAUCCGCACUUCUGACUGUACAUCAGGCCAGCCAUGCAGAAAUGAGCAAGAGGGUGCAAGACUACUCUUGGGGUACCAGGGAGAACAACCUAACUCCAAGGAGCCUCCUCAGACACCCUCCACUUCUGGGCCAUUCCUUAGCAACAGAAGCAGAAGAUGAAACCACUUUCCAUAACUGCAGCUUGGAAGUCUCUUUUCUGAAAACUCUCCCUGACAGAGUAUCUGGGAUAUGUUUUGGAGAAUAGCUCUUAGGGCUGCAUUACACCGACGAUCGGCAAAUGGUCAAACAUUGAAAGAUGAUUCAUUGCCAUUUAAAGGAGCCUUACCUGCAUUCCGUAUCCUCUCUUU
rnacentral:lncRNA from 1 species